AUGAUUAUACAGACAUCGGGCAGUGUCUCUGGAACAUUUUUAUGUCUUGGACAUCACUGUCCCAGUGACAAGGUAAUUAGCCAAGAUGGGAAGAGGCCUUUGCGGUCCUGCAGUUGCGGAUCAAAACAACUACAUGCACUGAUUUGUGUAGUUAUCCUACUUUCUGACGCGAGAAACGUACAUCCUGUCCUUAGCCAGAAACAUGUCAAGCAGAAUGUCAAUGUGGAUGGUACAUUUGUUUCCGUUCCUCCAGCCACGAGUGUUUCUGACCCAAAGGAUAAGAGCAUCUCUAGCAGACCCCGUAAAAGGGCCGAACGCAUAUAA
rnacentral:rRNA from 1 species